rnacentral:misc_RNA from 1 species
UUUCCGUAGGUGAACCUGCGGAAGGAUCGUUACAAAUCCAAAUAUUUACGAUGUGAGUAGUGAAGGAGAAAUUCUCCACUCUCUAUCAUCACAUUACCUAUUGACACUUGUAUAUUAAUUUACGGAAGAAAGAAUACCUUUUAACAAUGGAUCUCUUGGCUCUU